rnacentral:sRNA from 1 species
GCUGGGUGUGGUGGCCCAUGCCUAUAAUCCCAGUGAUUGGGGAGGCUGAGCCAGGAGGAUUGUUAGUUUGAGGUCAGCUUUGGCAAUUUAGUGAGGCCUUGAGCAACUUAGCCAGACCUUAUCUCUC